rnacentral:lncRNA from 1 species
CGACCACACUCUGGAUAUUAGAGAGUAUUGCCCUAGUUGCCCUGUUCGGGUAGGAGAUUGGAUCAUGCCCGUAGAUUUGCUAGCUCUGCGCAAGCUAGGGGAUUUCGAUGUGGUCUUGGGUAUGGAUUGGCUAACUAAGUACUACGCCACCAUCGACUGCAAGAAUCGCACGGUUACUUUUAGAGAACCGGGGCAGAUUGAGAUUGUGUUUAGAGGAUGCCGGAGUUCGCUUUUUGCGAUGUCGAUCAGCUCGUCUCGAUCUAGGCAGCUGAUCAGCGGAGGAUGUGUAGCUUACUUGGCUAGUGUUGUGUUGAGG